rnacentral:rRNA from 1 species
CGUACACAAAAGUGCAUGUGUUGUGAACUCGAAGAGUAGGGCGGGACACGUGGUAUCCUGUCUGAAUAUGGGGGGACCAUCCUCCAAGGCUAAAUACUCCUGACUGACCGAUAGUGAACCAGUACCGUGAGGGAAAGGCGAAAAGAACCCCGGCGAGGGGAGUGAAAAAGAACCUGAAACCGUGUACGUACAAGCAGUGGGAGCCUCUUUAUGGGGUGACUGCGUACCUUUUGUAUAAUGGGUCAGCGACUUAUAUUCUGUAGCAAGGUUAACCGAAUAGGGGAGCCGAAGGGAAACCGAGUCUUAACUGGGCGUUAAGUUGCAGGGUAUAGACCCGAAACCCGGUGAUCUAGCCAUGGGCAGGUUGAAGGUUGGGUAACACUAACUGGAGGACCGAACCGACUAAUGUUGAAAAAUUAGCGGAUGACUUGUGGCUGGGGGUGAAAGGCCAAUCAAACCGGGAGAUAGCUGGUUCUCCCCGAAAGCUAUUUAGGUAGCGCCUCGUGAAUUCAUCUCCGGGGGUAGAGCACUGUUUCGGCAAGGGGGUCAUCCCGACUUACCAACCCGAUGCAAACUGCGAAUACCGGAGAAUGUUAUCACGGGAGACACACGGCGGGUGCUAACGUCCGUCGUGAAGAGGGAAACAACCCAGACCGCCAGCUAAGGUCCCAAAGUCAUGGUUAAGUGGGAAACGAUGUGGGAAGGCCCAGACAGCCAGGAUGUUGGCUUAGAAGCAGCCAUCAUUUAAAGAAAGCGUAAUAGCUCACUGGUCGAGUCGGCCUGCGCGGAAGAUGUAACGGGGCUAAACCAUGCACCGAAGCUGCGGCAGCGACACUAUGUGUUGUUGGGUAGGGGAGCGUUCUGUAAGCCUGUGAAGGUGGCCUGUGAGGGUUGCUGGAGGUAUCAGAAGUGCGAAUGCUGACAUAAGUAACGAUAAAGCGGGUGAAAAGCCCGCUCGCCGGAAGACCAAGGGUUCCUGUCCAACGUUAAUCGGGGCAGGGUGAGUCGACCCCUAAGGCGAGGCCGAAAGGCGUAGUCGAUGGGAAACAGGUUAAUAUUCCUGUACUUGGUGUUACUGCGAAGGGGGGACGGAGAAGGCUAUGUUGGCCGGGCGACGGUUGUCCCGGUUUAAGCGUGUAGGCUGGUUUUCCAGGCAAAUCCGGAAAACCAAGGCUGAGGCGUGAUGACGAGGCACUACGGUGCUGAAGCGACAAAUGCCCUGCUUCCAGGAAAAGCCUCUAAGCAUCAGGUAACAUCAAAUCGUACCCCAAACCGACACAGGUGGUCAGGUAGAGAAUACCAAGGCGCUUGAGAGAACUCGGGUGAAGGAACUAGGCAAAAUGGUGCCGUAACUUCGGGAGAAGGCACGCUGAUAUGUAGGUGAAGCGACUUGCUCGUGGAGCUGAAAUCAGUCGAAGAUACCAGCUGGCUGCAACUGUUUAUUAAAAACACAGCACUGUGCAAACACGAAAGUGGACGUAUACGGUGUGACGCCUGCCCGGUGCCGGAAGGUUAAUUGAUGGGGUUAUCCGUAAGGAGAAGCUCUUGAUCGAAGCCCCGGUAAACGGCGGCCGUAACUAUAACGGUCCUAAGGUAGCGAAAUUCCUUGUCGGGUAAGUUCCGACCUGCACGAAUGGCGUA